GACAGCAGAUGCUUGGGGAGGUCAGGAAAGCAAAAGGAAUCAGUUCUGCAGCCCCGCGGCAGCCACGGCGUUUACAUCGCUCGCACAUUCGACCGCUGAAACGGUCGGGAUAAAAAAAAAAAAAAAAAAAAAAAAGGGAGAGGGAGAAAAACGCUCAGACUGAAGCGAAAUACAAUUAAAUGAAAGCCCCGGCACGGUUCUAAAUCAAUAAGUGCGCUCGGCCCGGGAGUAAGUAUCGGAUAUCUAUCGGAUAUCUCUCCAGGCUCGUAUCACCUUACAGGAAAUGCCCGGGGGAAAAGGGAAAAAAGGAAAGCCACCCCUGUGGGAGCGGGUGGAAAGGCUCCGGGCAGAGGCUGUGCCUGCCCGGGAACGCUGCGGGGGCUGACCCGCGGCCCCAGGGCCCAAAGACCCGGCCAAGCACUUCUAAGCGAGAGACACGUUUAAAAACAUGUUUUUUUUCCUGCCUAAGUGUUGAAGCAUCACGAGGAAAAAACGUAAUUUCACCAUUUUCCACACAGGGAGAGGCGGCUGAAACCCAGGGGGAAAGCAACAGGGCUACAUAAGAAAUGUGCAACACAGCAAAGUGUUCUCUUUCUGUGUGCCAGGCUUGAGUACAGAGGUUUUGGCAUCAGAGAUUUGCUUCUGCGUGGGGUUUCUUAUCUUGGAAAGAGCUGCCUGGGUCUGACAAUGGGAAUGUGAGGGAAUAAAAGCAGGCUGUUCCUGCUGGCUGGACAGGGGCAGGCCAUGCUGAGCCAUUCUCCUGUUUAUUAUUAUUAAUAAGGGAACACCUUGGGUGCACGUGUGUGCUGAAAAUAACUCUGGAAACUUAAAUGCUAUUUCCCCCUUUGUGUUUCACUCUGAAAUUUUUCAGCUUCUUGUAGCAGAAAACGUGGGUUGUUUGUUGUUUUUUUUCAGUUUUAUGGCAUCAUAAAGUGCCUUUGAGU